GUUUGAUUAUGGCUCAGGAUGAACGCUAGCGGCAGGCUUAACACAUGCAAGUCGAGGGGCAGCAUGAUCUAGCUUGCUAAGAUUGAUGGCGACCGGCGCACGGGUGCGUAACGCGUAUCCAACCUGCCGUGUACUUGGGGAUAGCCCUCUGAAAGGAGGAUUAAUACCCGAUGUGGUUGCUUGAGGACAUCCUCUUGCAAUUAAAGAUUUAUCGGUACACCGAUGGGGAUGCGUACGAUUAGCUAGUUGGCGGGGUAACGGCCCACCAAGGCGACGAUCGUUAGGGGUUCUGAGAGGAAGGUCCCCCACAUAGGAACUGAGACACGGUCCUAACUCCUACGGGAGGCAGCAGUGAGGAAUAUUGGUCAAUGGGCGAGAGCCUGAACCAGCCAAGUAGCGUGAAAAGGAAGACUGCCCUAUGGGUUGUAAACUUCUUUUAUCGGGGAAUAAAGUGUGGCACGUGUGCCAUUUUGUAUGUACCCGAUGAAUAAGCAUCGGCUAAUUCCGUGCCAGCAGCCGC
rnacentral:rRNA from 1 species